UACGUAGGGCGCAAGCGUUGUCCGGAAUUAUUGGGCGUAAAGAGCUCGUAGGCGGCUUGUCACGUCGGAUGUGAAAGCCCGGGGCUUAACCCCGGGUCUGCAUUCGAUACGGGCUAGCUAGAGUGUGGUAGGGGAGAUCGGAAUUCCUGGUGUAGCGGUGAAAUGCGCAGAUAUCAGGAGGAACACCGGUGGCGAAAGCGGAUCUCUGGGCCAUUACUGACGCUGAGGAGCGAAAGCGUGGGGAGCAAACAGG
rnacentral:rRNA from 1 species